rnacentral:rRNA from 1 species
CCUGGUUGAUCCUGCCAGUAGUCAUACGCUCGUCUCAAAGAUUUAGCCAUGCAUGUGUAAGUAUAAACAAUUUUAUACUGUGAAACUGCGAACGGCUCAUUAUAUCAGUUAUAGUUUAUUUGAUAAUACCUUACUACUUGGAUAACCGUAGUAAUUCUAGAGCUAAUACAUGCGUAAAGGGGUGACUGUUUGGGAGCCCUGUAUUUAUUAGAUAACAACCAACAAUUUUUGUGGUGAGUCAUGAUAACUUAGCGGAUCGCAGAGGCUUAAUUGCCGGCGAUGAAUCAUUCAAGUUUCUGCCCUAUCAGCUUUCGAUGGUAGUGUAUUGGACUACCAUGGCAUUAACGGGUAACGGAGGAUCAGGGUUCGAUUCCGGAGAGGGAGCCUGAGAGAUGGCUACCACAUCCAAGGAAGGCAGCAGGCGCGUAAAUUACCCAAUCCUAAUUCAGGGAGGUAGUGACAAUAAAUAUCAAUGCGGGGCCCUUGUGGUCUUGCAAUUGGAAUGAGUACAAUUUAAAUCCCUUAACGAGGAUCAAUUGGAGGGCAAGUCUGGUGCCAGCAGCCGCGGUAAUUCCAGCUCCAAUAGCGUAUAUUAAAGUUGUUGCAGUUAAAAAGCUCGUAGUUGGAUUUCUGAUCAAAGUUUCCGGUCCUGCGCUGUGCGUUGUGUACUGUGUAAACUCGGAUCAUCCUUGUAGGAAACUCAGUUUGGCAUUAAGUUGUCGAUUGAUGGAACUACAUCGUUUACUGUGAAAAAAUUAGAGUGUUCAAAGCAGGCUUAGGCUGUGAAUACAUUAGCAUGGAAUAAUAAUAUAGGACUUUGGUUCUAUUUUGUUGGUUGGAGGCCAAGGUAAUGAUUAAUAGGGAUAGUUGGGGGUAUUCAUAUUUAAUUGUCAGAGGUGAAAUUCUUGGAUUUAUGAAAGAUGAACUUAUGCGAAAGCGUUUACCAAGGAUGUUUUCACUAAUCAAGAACGAAAGUUAGGGGAUCGAAGAGGAUUAGAUACCCUCGUAGUCUUAACCAUAAACUAUGCCGACUCGGGAUUGGAGAGGUAUCAAUAUGGCCUUUUCAGCACCGUAUGAGAAAUCAAAGUCUUUGGGUUCCGGGGGGAGUAUGGUCGCAAGGCUGAAACUUAAAGGAAUUGACGGAAGGGCACCACCAGGAGUGGAGCCUGCGGCUUAAUUUGACUCAACACGGGGAAACUCACCAGGUCCGGACAUAGUAAGGAUUGACAGAUUGACAGCUCUUUCUUGAUUCUAUGGGUGGUGGCGCAUGGCCGUUCUUAGUUGGUGGAGUGAUUUGUCUGGUUGAUUCCGUUAACGAACGAGAUCUCCGCCUGCUAAAUAGUCACGGUAGUCAUUUUGACUGCUGGGCGACUUCUUAGAGGGACACUUGGCGUUUAGUCAAGGGAAGUUGGAGGCAAUAACAGGUCUGUGAUGCCCUUAGAUGUUCUGGGCCGCACGCGCGCUACACUGAUUCAAUCAGCGAGUUUAUAACCUUGACCGAGAGGACUGGGUAAUCUUGUAAAUCUGAAUCGUGAUGGGGAUAGGUCCUUGUAAUUCUUGACCUUGAACGAGGAAUUCCUAGUAAACGCGAGUCAUCAGCUCGCAUUGAUUACGUCCCUGCCCUUUGUAUACACCGCCCGUCGCACCUACCGAUUGAAUGGUCCGGUGAAUCCCUCGGACAGUGACAAAUGUCUCCUUUAUUGUGAGACGUUGUUGCUGGAAGUUGUGUAAACCUUACCAUUUAGAGGAAGGUGAAGUCGUAACAAGGUUUCCGUAGGUGAACCUGCGGAAGGAUCA